CACGUAGGGACCAAGCGUUGUCCGGAUUUAUUGGGCGUAAAGCGCACGUAGGCGGAUCUUUAAGUCAGGGUGAAAUCCCAAGGCUCAACCUUGGAACUGCCUUUGAUACUGGGAUCUCGAGUCCGGAAGAGGUUGGUGGAACUGCGAGUGUAGAGGUGAAAUUCGUAGAUAUUCGCAAGAACACCAGUGGCGAAGGCGGCCAACUGGUCCGGUACUGACGCUGAGGUGCGAAAGCG
rnacentral:rRNA from 1 species